UGGAGGAGCGAUAACAACAUUUUAACGCCUUAUAGUCCAUUUAGGUAAAAGUGCCAUUUGCGUUGUGGGCUUAACAAGAAAUUAUGACCUCUGGGCGGCCCAGCCACCGGCUUCAAACCCAAAAGAAAGUACAUAAAAAAGUGGGGCAAGCCACCAAAUAAAAAUGAGGCGAGCGAAAAAAAAAACAAUGCCAAAAGGUGAAUUCGCGGAGUCAAGUUGGCACAAACAUUUGCAUCACGACUCAAGUAAAACUAUUUGUAAAAAUAAAAAAAAAACGGUAUGAAUAAUUUUGAGAAACACAUUUUGAUCAUCCUAAUAACAUGUGCUUACAUGAUCUUUUUACUAUUUGUCAUCAAUAUAGCUAGAAUCAUUUAUCGAAGAAUGCAUUAAAUUAUUUUUUACAAAAUUUUAACUAUCAAAAUUCGUUUGUAAUUUUAACAAGAUGUGCAAAAUCGAAAAUGCCUUUGAAAAAUAGUUCGCCAAUUGUGAUAUCUCUGUUAGCUCUUGUGAUAAUCGAUAGUGCAUUUAGCCACUGCAUCGAGUCAAUGCUGUUUACAUCCAGCAAAGAAGGAAUUUCAGAGAAAAGCCAGUCAACAAAAUGUUUGGAUUGAAAUCAAAGGAAACGUAAAGACAAUCAUGCAGAAAAUUAAAUAAAUACUAUUUAUAAAUAUCGCCAAGCGUAUAUAAAUAAAUAUCAAUAUAUUUAAAA